rnacentral:rRNA from 1 species
GACGAACGCUGGCGGCGUGCUUAACACAUGCAAGUCGAACGAAACCUUCCGGCCUUUUGGCGCUCGGGUACUUAACGCCUGGGAAGUUACCCUUGGGUACCCAACAAUUCCCUGAGAGGUGUCCUAAUACCGGAUAGUGUUUUCCCUCCAACGAUCUAUCGCCUCUGGAUGGGGGCGCGUUGGAUUCGCUGGUUGGUAGGGUAAAAGCAUGCCAAGGAGACGAUGCAUAGCUGGUCUGAGAGGAUGAUCAGCCACACUGGGACUGAGACACGGCCCAGACUCGUACGGAAGGCAGCAGUGGGGAAUAUUGGACGAUGGGCGAAGGCCUAAUCCAGCAAUGCCGGGUAAGUGAUGAAGGCCGUAGGAUUGUAAAGCUCUCUUACCCGGGGUGAUAAUGACAGUACCGGGAGAAUAAGCCCCGGCUAACUACGUG